GGGGACCAUCCUCCAAGGCUAAAUACUCCUGACUGACCGAUAGUGAACCAGUACCGUGAGGGAAAGGCGAAAAGAACCCCGGCGAGGGGAGUGAAAAAGAACCUGAAACCGUGUACGUACAAGCAGUGGGAGCACAGGUUUACCUGUGUGACUGCGUACCUUUUGUAUAAUGGGUCAGCGACUUAUAUUCUGUAGCAAGGUUAACCGUAUAGGGGAGCCGGAGGGAAACCGAGUCUUAAUUGGGCGUUAAGUUGCAGGGUAUAGACCCGAAACCCGGUGAUCUAGCCAUGGGCAGGUUGAAGGUUGGGUAACACUAACUGGAGGACCGAACCGACUAAUGUUGAAAAAUUAGCGGAUGACCUGUGGCUGGGGGUGAAAGGCCAAUCAAACCGGGAGAUAGCUGGUUCUCCCCGAAAGCUAUUUAGGUAGCGCCUCGUGAAUUCAUCUCCGGGGGUAGAGCACUGUUUCGGCUAGGGGGCCAUCCCGGCUUACCAACCCGAUGCAAACUGCGAAUACCGGAGAAUGUUAUCACGGGAGACACACGGCGGGUGCUAACGUCCGUCGUGAAGAGGGAAACAACCCAGACCGCCAGCUAAGGUCCCAAAGUCAUGGUUAAGUGGGAAACGAUGUGGGAAGGCCCAGACAGCCAGGAUGUUGGCUUAGAAGCAGCCAUCAUUUAAAGAAAGCGUAAUAGCUCACUGGUCGAGUCGGCCUGCGCGGAAGAUGUAACGGGGCUAAACCAU
rnacentral:rRNA from 1 species